rnacentral:rRNA from 1 species
GGUUAAGCGACUAAGCGUACACGGUGGAUGCCUAGGCAAUCAGAGGCGAUGAAGGACGUGCUAAUCUGCGAUAAGCGUCGGUAAGGUGAUAUGAACCGUGAUAACCGACGAUUUCCGAAUGGGGGAACCCAGUGCAAUCCGUUGCACUAUCGUUUGAUGAAUACAUAGUCAAACGAAGCGAACCGGGGGAACUGAAACAUCUCAGUACCCCGAGGAAAAGAAAUCAACCGAGAUUCCCCUAGUAGCGGCGAGCGAACGGGGAGCAGCCCAGAGUCUUAAUCA